rnacentral:misc_RNA from 1 species
GGCCUAACAGUCAAUUUUGGCCAAUACUUUACGCGAAUCAUCAAUUUUGGCCAAAACCUUUUUUUGUCCCUAUUUUUGCAAAUUAGACUCAAUUGUAGCCAAGAAGAAUUGGGUCUAGAGACACGCAUGUGACAGCUAAGUUAGCAUAAAAUAAUAAUAUUUAAAUAUGAGACAUAGUUAACCAUUAGUAUACCAUGUUAACAUCAUGAAAAAAGUCUGCAUUUUGGCCAAAACCAAAAUGCAAUAGUUCAAUUUUCUUCUCUUAAACAGAGAAUUCUUCAAAAUUCUAAAUUAAAAUCUUCUUGUUCUUAGGGUUCCUGCGCAAAGGAUAGUUAAUCAAGUCCAAGGUUCUUGCUAUGGCUUCUACGCAUAGCUAUUAAAGGCUCAAGGCACACCACGGCACCAAAGGGUUCUGAAGCCAAGCCACAAUGUACAGGCGCACACUAAGUGAGGUGAGGCACGAAAAU